UACGGGGGGGGCAAGCGUUGUUCGGAAUUACUGGGCGUAAAGGGCUCGUAGGCGGCCAACUAAGUCAGACGUGAAAUCCCUCGGCUUAACCGGGGAACUGCAUCUGAUACUGGAUGGCUUGAGUUCGGGAGAGGGAUGCGGAAUUCCAGGUGUAGCGGUGAAAUGCGUAGAUAUCUGGAGGAACACCGGUGGCGAAGGCGGCAUCCUGGACCGACACUGACGCUGAGGAACGAAAGCCAGGGGAGCAAACGGG
rnacentral:rRNA from 1 species